rnacentral:rRNA from 1 species
UGGAUGAUGUGGAUUAAUUCGAUGCAACGCGAAAACCUUACUACCCUUGACAUGUCUGGAACCUUGGUGAGAGCCGAGGGUGCCUUCGGGAGCCAGAACACAGGUGCUGCAUGGCUGUCGUCAGCUCGUGUCGUGAGAUGUUGGGUUAAGUCCCGCAACGAGCGCAACCCUUGUCACUAGUUGCCAUCAUUUGGUUGGGCACUCUAGUGAGACUGCCGGUGACAAACCGGAGGAAGGUGGGGAUGACGUCAAGUCCUCAUGGCCCUUAUGGGUAGGGCUUCACACGUCAUACAAUGGUCGGUACAGAGGGUUGCCAAGCCGCGAGGUGGAGCCAAUCCCUUAAAGCCGAUCGUAGUCCGGAUCGCAGUCUGCAACUCGACUGCGUGAAGUCGGAAUCGCUAGUAAUCGCGGAUCAGCAUGUCGCGGUGAAUACGUUCCCGGGUCUU